rnacentral:rRNA from 1 species
GAUGAACGCUGGCGGCGUGCUUAACACAUGCAAGUCGAACGGGGAUUAUUUUGACAGAGACUUCGGUUGAAGUCGUUAUAAUCCUAGUGGCGGACGGGUGAGUAACGCGUGGGUAACCUGCCUCACACUGGGGGAUAACAGUCAGAAAUGACUGCUAAUACCGCAUAAGCGCACGGGAUUGCAUGAUCCAGUGUGAAAAACUCCGGUGGUGUGAGAUGGACCCGCGUUGGAUUAGCCAGUUGGCAGGGUAACGGCCUACCAAAGCGACGAUCCAUAGCCGGCCUGAGAGGGUGGACGGCCACAUUGGGACUGAGACACGGCCCAGACUCCUACGGGAGGCAGCAGUGGGGAAUAUUGCACAAUGGGGGAAACCCUGAUGCAGCGACGCCGCGUGAAGGAAGAAGUAUCUCGGUAUGUAAACUUCUAUCAGCAGGGAAGAAAAUGACGGUACCUGACUAAGAAGCCCCGGCUAACUACGUGCCAGCAGCCGCGGUAAUACGUAGGGGGCAAGCGUUAUCCGGAUUUACUGGGUGUAAAGGGAGCGUAGACGGAGCAGCAAGUCUGAUGUGAAAGGCGGGGGCUCAACCCCCGGACUGCAUUGGAAACUGUUGAUCUUGAGUACCGGAGAGGUAAGCGGAAUUCCAAGUGUAGCGGUGAAAUGCGUAGAUAUUAGGAGGAACACCAGUGGCGAAGGCGGCUUACUGGACGGUAACUGACGUUGAGGCUCGAAAGCGUGGGGAGCAAACAGGAUUACAUACCCUGGUAGUCCACGCCGUAAA